rnacentral:lncRNA from 1 species
CGUCCAUCCAGGGAGCACUCCAGAUGAGCCCCUGCAGGAGACUCGAUGUGCCCUGAAGUCUUUCUGUUCAUCCAGAAGGAACUUGGCGUGGGGGGAUUCCCGGCGAGGAGGCUUCUGGAUGAAGGACAGACGGUGGGCAUUGUCAACCAGCACAUCCCUUGGAGAUUUCUGGUCCCAAAAAGCAUCACAGGGCACUUUGUACAGAACGGGAUUGUCACUCUGAUGAGCGCAGAAGUCUCUUAACUUCCAAAUGAGCUGUCUUCCGGGCCCCUGGGAAACCAUAAUGUAAGUGGUGCCAGGCUUCCAGGAAUGGCCAGAAAGCUGCUUCACUUGAGGGUGGCCGAGGAUUUGCUCAUGUGAAAUGAAAACAAUAGACAUCGAUACUAGUUGCAAUACCAGUAAUUUUUUAGCAGAAAAAUAA